rnacentral:lncRNA from 1 species
AUAGAGAGAUUCCGGGUGAUGUCAUACUACUUUUAUGACCUAGUUUCUAUUUUACGCAUGUGAUUUCUGUUUAAUUCUAUUGACUGAAGUUAGUCACCAAGUCCAGCUCACAUGAGAUGGGACAGGUUUGCACAAAGAUGUAAUAAACAACUAUUAAAUACUGGAUGUCUUCUGCAUUUUCAUGGAAUUGAGAAAAGUGCAGAGGGGUAGUUCAUAGGUCCACCACUAGAGAGAGUGCUGGCCAAGAGUUUGUGUCUAUAGCCUGAAAGUUCCGUGCUUUAUGAAAAAGGCACAAGAGUGGAAUUUGUUCCCUUAUGUCUCCAAGAGAAUGAGAAACUUUUGUACACAGCAAUAAAAUCUUUCUCCCUACUUCUAUGUCAAA